AACGCUGGCGGCGUGCUUAACACAUGCAAGUCGAACGAGAAUCUACUGAAAGAGUUUUCGGACAAUGGAUGUAGAGGAAAGUGGCGGACGGGUGAGUAACGCGUGAGCAACCUGCCCUUCAGAGGGGGACAACAGUUGGAAACAACUGCUAAUACCGCAUAAUGUAUCCGGAAGGCAUCUCCUGGAUACCAAAGGAGAAAUCCGCUGAUGGAUGGGCUCACGUCUGAUUAGCCAGUUGGUGAGGUAACGGCCCACCAAGGCGACGAUCAGUAGGGGUUCUGAGAGGAAGGUCCCCCACAUUGGAACUGAGACACGGUCCAAACUCCUACGGGAGGCAGCAGUGAGGAAUAUUGGUCAAUGGGCGAGAGCUUGAACCAGCCAAGUAGCGUGCAGGAUGACGGCCCUAUGGGUUGUAAACUGCUUUUAUAAGGGAAUAAAGUGAGCCUCGUGAGGCUUUUUGCAUGUACCUUAUGAAUAAGGACCGGCUAAUUCCGUG
rnacentral:rRNA from 1 species